GUUACAGAUUUCUUUGUUCCUUCUCCGCUCCCACUGCU
rnacentral:piRNA from 1 species